GACAGAGGUGCCGAGCGUUAGGCGGAAUCACUGGGCUUAAAGCGUGUGUAGGCGGAUCGUUAAGUACCUUGUGAAAUCCCACGGCUCAACCGUGGAACUGCUGGGUAUACUGGCGGUCUUGAGCCACCUAGGGGCGAGCGGAACAAGCGGUGGAGCGGUGAAAUGCGUUGAUAUUAUGGGGAACACCAAAAGCGAAGGCAGCAGACUGGAGCACUCCUGACACUGAAACAAGAAAGCGUGGGUCGCGAAUGGG
rnacentral:rRNA from 1 species